rnacentral:rRNA from 1 species
AAAAAGGGUGGUAAUGCCGGAUGCUCCGGUUGGAUGCAUGUCCUUCCGGGAAAGAUUCUAUCGGUAUGGGAUGGGGUCGCGUCCUAUCAGCUUGAUGGCGGGGUAACGGCCCACCAUGGCUUCGACGGGUAGCCGGCCUGAGAGGGCGACCGGCCACAUUGGGACUGAGAUACGGCCCAGACUCCUACGGGAGGCAGCAGUGGGGAAUAUUGCACAAUGGGCGCAAGCCUGAUGCAGCGACGCCGCGUGCGGGAUGGAGGCCUUCGGGUUGUAAACCGCUUUUGAUCGGGAGCAAGCCCUUCGGGGUGAGUGUACCUUUCGAAUAAGCACCGGCUAACUACGUGCCAGCAGCCGCGGUAAUACGUAGGGUGCAAGCGUUAUCCGGAAUUAUUGGGCGUAAAGGGCUCGUAGGCGGUUCGUCGCGUCCGGUGUGAAAGCCCAUCGCUUAACGGUGGGUCUGCGCCGGGUACGGGCGGGCUGGAGUGCGGUAGGGGAGACUGGAAUUCCCGGUGUAACGGUGGAAUGUGUAGAUAUCGGAAAAAGAACACC